rnacentral:lncRNA from 1 species
AGGUUCAAUAUUCUGAAUUUUGACAGCAAUGUAAGUUUUCAAAAUGUGGCUAUCAUGCAAGAGAACUAGAACAUAAUUAAAUGAGUAAGCCAACGAAAAGUGGAAACCUAUCACCUGUCGUGAAAGAGACGACCAAGGUUGUUCGCUCGUGGCUUCUCAAGCAACGGAGACGACGAGAGACGCAGCGCAAGAACUCAGUAGAGCUGAUGGCUGAAGCUGGACUGUUGCAAGGCCGAAAUGAAUGCCAAGGAGAUGCUGCCGUGGGCCUAUGGUUGCAGUUGGGCCCGUGUAAUGAAGAGGAGAGCCUGUGGAUUGGACUUUGAAACAGUGGGCGGGCCUGAUGAGUCUGCCGGGCCGCAGGUGGGUUGCUGCAGUUGGGCCUGUUGGAUUUGGACCGCAGAGUAGAGAGGGUGGGGGGGUUUCUGUGGUGUCGGGUUUGGCCCUGUUGGCCCGAGGAGUUAGAUGAGUGGGGGAAAGUGGGUUGUGUGCAGAAGAGGGGGAAUCGAGUGAGACUUCGGCCGAAAGAAGGGGAUCGGAGAUAAAGGAGAUGGGAGGGGUUUGGGGAUGGCAAAAGGGGAAUUGGAUGGAGGGGCGGUCGGUUGCGGCGGAAGGGCGGCCGUGGACGAGUUGUGGAUGCGGCCGGAAGGGGAGGUGAGGCGGCGGAAGGGCGGCUGUGGACGAGUUGUGGAUGCGGCCGGAAGGGGAGGCGAGGCGGCAGAGCUCGGCCUUGAUGACGAUGCGACGACGCGUGCGCAAGCGGCGCGGAUCGGCGGGGAGGGCAUCGUCGGGGCUCUAUGGCGGUCGGCUUCGAUUGUCUGCAGUCGACCGCGAGGAGGCAUCCGAAGGAGAUGUCGCGCGGCGGUGCAGCUAGGCGGAGACGCGGCGAGGGGCGGCCGAUUGGGAAAGAUGAACAAGCAAGGGGGUUUUUUUUUCUUUUUUCUCUUUUC